rfam:Ciona savignyi cont_60882, whole genome shotgun sequence.
UCCUCGUUAGUAUAGUGGGUGAGUAUCCCCGCCUGUCACGCGGGAGACCGGGGUUCGAUUCCCCGACGGGGAG